rnacentral:rRNA from 1 species
GCACGGGUGCGUAACACGUAUAUAAUCUGCCCAUAACUGGGGGAUAGCCCGAAGAAAUUCGGAUUAAUACCCCAUAAUAUUAUUUGAAGGCAUCUUUAGAUAAUUAAAGCUCCGGCGGUUAUGGAUGAAUAUGCGACUGAUUAGCUAGUUGGUGAGGUAACGGCUCACCAAGGCAACGAUCAGUAGGGGUACUGAGAGGUUAAACCCCCACACUGGUACUGAGACACGGCCCAG